GCACCAAAAGAAAGAGAUGCAUAAGUAUUAUCACAAAUAUUUAGUGAGGCGAUCCUCCCAUCUACGAGCUAUACACACAAGCAAAUAAAAGGGGGUAUAAUCACAAAUACAACAUAAACAAACCAGUCACUGAACAAUUCACCCAAAAAUACAUUCACCACACCUACAUAUCAUCACACAAAACAAAUCAUACAACCCAAUCGCUCAGAUAAGCUCAUGGUCACGCACUCACCUUAACAAGCUGAUUCUAACAACAAUUAAAACUAGGAGAGACUCUCCUUGCGUCUGAAACAGUCCAAAAACGUCCUACAACAAGUCCAUAACCAAAAGCAACCUUGAAGCAAACGGAACAUGAAAAUCAGAAACAAACAGUCUCAAAGACGAAACCCUAAAAA
rnacentral:sRNA from 1 species